GACGAACGCUGGCGGCGUGCUUAACACAUGCAAGUCGAACGGAAAGGCCCUGCUUUUGUUGGGUGCUCGAGUGGCGAACGGGUGAGUAACACGUGAGUAACCUGCCCUUGACUUUGGGAUAACUUCAGGAAACUGGGGCUAAUACCGGAUAGGAGCUCCUGCUGCAUGGUGGGGGUUGGAAAGUUUCGGCGGUUGGGGAUGGACUCGCGGCUUAUCAGCUUGUUUGUGGGGUAGUGGCUUACCAAGGCUUUGACGGGUAGCCGGCCUGAGAGGGUGACCAGCCACCUUGGGACUGAGAUACGGCGCAGACUGGUACGGGCGGCAGCAGUGGGGAAUUUUGCACAAUGGGGCGAAGCCUGAUGCAACAACGCCGCGUGCGGGAUGCCGGCCUUCGGGUUGUAAACCGCUUUCGCCUGUGACGAACAGUGAGUGACGGUAAUGGGUAAGGAAGCACCGGCUAACUACGUG
rnacentral:rRNA from 1 species